AUUCUCAGUUUCUGGGUGCUCCCAAAUACAGGACGAACCCCCCAAAAUGUAAGACCCCCCCUUUCAGGGAAUCACUCUAGUCUCGGGAGUGAGAGAGCACCCAAAGAAACAUGAGAAUCC
rnacentral:pre_miRNA from 7 species